AGUUGAGUAGCUCAGUGGUAGAGCACUUGCCUAGCAUGUAUGAGGCCCUGGGUUUGAUCCCCAGAACUG
rnacentral:tRNA from 1 species